rnacentral:rRNA from 1 species
GACGAACGCUGGCGGCGUGCCUAAUACAUGCAAGUAGAACGCUGAAGGCGGAGCUUGCUCUUCUGGAUGAGUUGCGAACGGGUGAGUAACGCGUAGGUAACCUGCCUGGUAGCGGGGGAUAACUAUUGGAAACGAUAGCUAAUACCGCAUAAGAGUAGAUGUUGCAUGACAUUUACUUAAAAGGUGCACUUGCUUCACUACUAGAUGGCCCUGCGUUGUAUUAGCUAGUUGGUGGGGUAACGGCUUACCAAGGCGACGAUACAUAGCCGACCGGCGAGGGGGAUAGGCCUAGCUGGGAUGAGGACACGGCCCAGAACACUACGGGAGGCAGCAGUAGGAGAUCCUCGGGGAAGGAAGGAGGGCUGAACGAGGGACGACGCGUGAGAGAAGGAGGUUGUCAGGUCGUAAAACUCAGUUGUAAGAGAAGAACGAGUGUGAGAGUGGAAAGUGCACACUGUGACGGUACCUUACCAGAAAGGGACGGCUAACUACGUG